ensembl:snoRNA
AGCACUUUGUGUCUGUGUAUUAGCUGGUGGACACAGGCAUGAAAGACAAGUGCAAAAAUAAAUCCUCUUUUGCAAACCAGAAUUCACUGUGCAGUAUGAGUUCUGAUGCAUGCAAAAAGGAAUAUG